rnacentral:rRNA from 1 species
UACAGAGGAGCCAAGCGUUGUCCGGAUUGACUGGGCGUAAAGCGCACGCAGGCGGGGGUGCGCGUGGGGGGUGAAAUCUGGCCGCUUAACGGCCAGGCGCCAUCCCAUACGGCACGCCUGGAGCCUUGCAGAGGUCGGUGGAAUUGCCGGUGUAGUGGUGAAAUGCGUAGAGAUCGGGAAGAACAUCGGUGGCGAAAGCGCUCUACUGGACCGCAACUGACACUCAGGGACGAAAGCUAGGGGAGCGAACAGG